CACUAGACUAUAAGCCCCUAGCAGGUAGGAUCAUAUGUUUUCUUCUUUGUACCCACAGUGGCUUACACAGUUCCUUUCACGGAACUGCUACUAUUUGUUUUAGUCUCUUUGUAGGCUUGAUAAGGGAGAGACAGGGCAGAGCCAGCUCCCUGGCUGUGUAAGGAGAGAUGGUGUAAAUGUGGAUGGGUUUGGACUGGCUAAGUUAAGCUACCCAACAUUCCCAUAAAGGGAAGAUUGCUAAGGCAAAGGCAUCAGGAGACUGAAGGGACAAGCCUAUGUUCUGUAUAUAUAUUAACUCCUUUAAGACUUAAAACAACCAGAAGAGGAAGUAUCUUCUUUUUAACGAAGAGAAAAUGAAGCACAGAGAGGUCGUCAACUUGUUUAAGGUCACAUAGAAAAUAUGGUCAGAUGUCCAGUGAUCUGGAAUGCACAACCCCUUGGAGGUGAUAAUGCUGCUGGGAGAUGGAAAUAUCUGCAUUCAAAGAAUUCAGUAAAAACUAACCUUGUAAAGGAAAAGUUGCAAGGAGGUGUAAGCAAGCAGUAUCUAUGGACAAUAUUGAAAGUGAGGUUUGCAAAGCUCAGAAGAGGGGAGGAUCCCUGAAGGAUGUAAGAGGAUUCUUAAACAAUGGAUAACAGGUAUAUUUGAGGCAAA